GAACAACCUAAUUAACGACGCCCCUAUUCAGCAGGAAGCAGUUUGUAGAGAAAAAACUACGCCCAUGUUCCCAAAUAUUGUUUAUAAAUGUUCUUUUACAUUUAAAGGGGGAUAUGAUAUAGAUAUGAAUAAUUUGCAUUGGUAUGGAUUUUAUGGUCAAUUUUGUUAUAUGUAUAUGUAUUUUUGAUCUUGAUUAAGGUAUUGUGAUUGUGUAGUUCAUUUAAAAAUGUAAUGUAUAAUUAGGAAAUAUAGGUUGUUAAUGGAUAAUCAUCGCUAAUACUUAAGCUUGUAGUCAUGUUAGUUAGAUUUUCUAGAUAUAUAGAGAGAUAUUUUAGUUAGAUAGGCAUUCUUCAUAUCUUUCAAAGGCUGCAGAAUAUGGCAUUUAAGAUAUUUUAAUAACUUAGGGUUUUUCAUGACAAUGAGACACAUUUGCUCCUGGCAGCACCAAUCUAUUUCAAGAGGAAGAUGGGCAUCGAAGAGAAUCCUUAUGGAGUUUGAUAGCCAUUUGGGCAAGAAACUGCUCUUGCCUGGACUGUUGCAUAAACUGGACACAGAGAACCCGCAGAGAGAGGACUGCUGAACUUGCCUAAAGGUGAGAUGACCUUUUGGGGUUCCUGCUUCAUGAAAGAGUCUGUGAGACAUUCUGCAGGACACAGCAAAAAGUGACUGAACUGUCUUUGGAAUUUCUUGCUUGAUGAGAAUGUCUGCUGGAUACUAUGGGCCUGUAGGCCGAAGAUGGAUGCCCCAACGGUACAGAGGAACUUUGGGUGACUGUCCAGGCAGCGAGAUGUCUCUGUCAUUUCUAGAGUUUUCUUAUUUCUUGUUUGAUAGGUAAUAUUAUAUCCUUCUGGAGUCUUUGAUGGAGUUGAAGAAUGGUUAGUUAUAGUUUUCCUUAGUUAUGAUAAGAGAUAAAAUAGAUAUAAAUAUUGUAACUGUAAUUCUUACUUGAUAACUGUUUUGUUAUAUGUAAUUUUACUAUGUUAAAGUUAAAGCCUUUCUUUUUUGUUUAAACAGAAAAAGGGGAAAUGAUGUGGGAGUGAUUUCUUAUUAAUAAAGAAACUGCCUUGGCCCAUUUUAUUGGAUAGAAAAUUAGGUAGGCGGAGUAGACAGAGGAGAAUGCUGGGAAAAAGAAGCUGUGUGAGGAGUCGCCAUGGUUCUCCCGCUCCAGACAGACGCAGGUUAAGAUCCUCUCUGGUAAGCCAGCUCAUGGGCUACACAGAAUAUUAGAAAUGGGUUAGAACAAUAUGUAAGAGCUAGCCAAUAAGAAACUGGACCUAGCCGGGCCAGGCAGUGUUUGAAAGAAUACAGUUUCCGUGUAAUUAUUUCUGGGUAUAAACUAGCCAUGCGGGCGGCCGGGUGCCGGGGACGCAGCCCUGCCGCUCCUAUUUCAACAGAUGGCGCCCAGACGUGAUGGGCUAAAUCCACUUAAAAACCUGAGAGGGCUUAAAAAGGAGAGAGAGAGAAUUUAAGACAGCUUUUUGCUGUUUCUGGGUUGCGUGCCGCAAAGAAAUUGUCCUGACUCGGCAGCAGGAAAAAACUGGCUGUUUUAAAAUGCCGGCUUUCUGGGCUGUGCCGCCAUUGUGAUCUCUGUCUGGCUCCGGCGGGAGACAGAGCUUAUGAAUGGAGCAUUUGGAUUAAAGUGCUACGAUUUGUUUGAUGGCAACUAGACUGCUGUGUGCCUAAAAGGGGGACAUUGUGUGCCGCAGCUCAGAGGCACAAGCAGCUCCGCCAUGCUAAUGGUGCAAUGUGCAAGGAUCAGAGGCACGAGCGGCUCCGCCAUGUUGGACUGGGCGGGGCCAGCAUACAGUACCUGUUUUUGACCUAGGAAUGUCACAGCUUAGAUUCUUAAGCGCUUAGUGAUUUAAAGGCGCAAAACAAAGUGCUCCUGGAUAGUAAAAAAAUUACAGAUUCACAAUAAAACAGAUUCAGACACUGUUGGAUAAAUGUACGUAGGCUUGGGAAAGAGAAGAAAAAGAAUAUAAAGAAUAAAGUUAAUGUCUUAAAAAGAAAAAGGGUAAAGUCUUUAAAGAGA